GACGAACGCUGGCGGCGUGCCUAAUACAUGCAAGUUGAGCGCUGAAGGUUGGUACUUGUACCAACUGGAUGAGCAGCGAACGGGUGAGUAACGCGUGGGGAAUCUGCCUUUGAGCGGGGGGCAACAUUUGGAAACGAAUGCUAAUACCGCAUAAAAACUUUAAACACAAGUUUUAAGUUUGAAAGAUGCAAUUGCAUCACUCAAAGAUGAUCCCGCGUUGUAUUAGCUAGUUGGUGAGGUAAAGGCUCACCAAGGCGAUGAUACAUAGCCGACCUGAGAGGGUGAUCGGCCACAUUGGGACUGAGACACGGCCCAAACUCCUACGGGAGGCAGCAGUAGGGAAUCUUCGGCAAUGGACGAAAGUCUGACCGAGCAACGCCGCGUGAGUGAAGAAGGUUGUCGGAUCGUAAAACUCUGUUGGUAGAGAAGAACGUUGGUGAGAGUGGAAAGCUCAUCAAGUGACGGUAACUACCCAGAAAGGGACGGCUAACUACGUG
rnacentral:rRNA from 1 species